rnacentral:rRNA from 1 species
AACCUCCGCAAUGUGAGAAAUCGCGACGGGGGGAUCCCAAGUGCCAUUCUUAACGGGAUGGCUUUUCAUUAGUGUAAAGAGCUUUUGGAAUAAGGGCUGGGCAAGACCGGUGCCAGCCGCCGCGGUAACACCGGCAGCUCUAGUGGUAGCAGUUUUUAUUGGGCCUAAAGCGUCCGUAGCCGGUUUAAUAAGUCUCUGGUGAAAUCCUGUAGCUUAACUGUGGGAAUUGCUGGAGAUACUAUUAGACUUGAGACCGGGAGAGGUUAGAGGUACUCCCAGGGUAGAGGUGAAAUUCUGUAAUCCUGGGAGGACCGCCUGUUGCGAAGGCGUCUAACUGGAACGGUUCUGACGGUGAGGGACGAAAGUUAGGGGCGCGAACCGGAUUAGAUACCCGGGUAGUCCUAACUGUAAACGAUGCGGACUUGGUGUUGGGGUGGCUUUGAGCUGCUCCAGUGCCGAAGGGAAGCUGUUAAGUCGCCGCCUGGGAAGUACGGUCGCAAGACUGAAACUUAAAGGAAUU